rnacentral:rRNA from 1 species
GAUGAACGCUGGCGGCGUGCCUAAUACAUGCAAGUCGAGCGAACAGACGAGGAGCUUGCUCCUCUGACGUUAGCGGCGGACGGGUGAGUAACACGUGGAUAACCUACCUAUAAGACUGGGAUAACUUCGGGAAACCGGAGCUAAUACCGGAUAAUAUAUUGAACCGCAUGGUUCAAUAAUGAAAGACGGUUUUGCUGUCACUUAUAGCUGGAUCCGCGCCGCAUUAGCUAGUUGGUAAGGUAACGGCUUACCAAGGCAACGAUGCGUAGCCGACCUGAGAGGGUGAUCGGCCACACUGGAACUGAGACACGGUCCAGACUCCUACGGGAGGCAGCAGUAGGGAAUCUUCCGCAAUGGGCGAAAGCCUGACGGAGCAACGCCGCGUGAGUGAUGAAGGUCUUCGGAUCGUAAAACUCUGUUAUUAGGGAAGAACAAAUGUGUAAGUAACUGUGCACGUCUUGACGGUACCUAAUCAGAAAGCCACGGCUAACUACGUG